rnacentral:rRNA from 1 species
UAGAGUUUGAUCAUGGCUCAGGACGAACGCUGACGGCGUGGAUUAGGCAUGCAAGUCGAACGAGAAAUUCCCGAUUCGUCGGGAAGAGUAUAGUGGCGAAUGGGUGAGUAACGGGUAGGUAUCUACCCAAUAGAUUGGGAUAGCCUCAGGAAACUGAGGGUAAUACCGGAUAAGCCCCGAUUAUCGGGGGAAAGAUGGCCUCUGUUUACAAGCUGUCACUAUUGGAUGAGCCUGCUUCAUGUUAGCUUGUUGGUGAGGUAAUGGCUCACCAAGGCAAUGAUGUGUAGCCGGCCUUAACGGGUGUCCGGUCACACUGGGAUUGAGAUACGGCCCAGACCCCUACGGGAGGCAGCAGUGAGGAAUCUUCCACAAUGGACGAAAGCCUGAUGGAGCGACACCGCCUGAAGGAUGAAGGCCUAACGGUUGUAAACUUCUUUUCUGAAGGAGCAUAAUGAGAGUACUUCAGGAAUAAGGGACGGCUAAAUACGUGCCAGCAGCCGCGGUAAUACGUAUGUCUCAAGCGUUACCCGGAAUCACUGGGUGUAAAGGGUUCGUAGGUGGUUUAAUAAGUUGGAUAUGAAAGACCGGAGCUCAACUUCGUGUUUGUAUUCAAAACUGUUAGACUAGAAUCAGGGAGAGGUAAGCGGAAUUCUGUGUGUAGGGGUGCAAUCCGUAGAUACACAGAGGAACACCAAAAGCGAAGGCAGCUUACUGGAACUGUAUUGACGCUCAUGAACGAAAGCGUGGGGAGCGAAAAGGAUUAGAUACCCUUGUAGUCCACGCCCUAAACGAUGAUAACUAAGUGUUGUGACUUGCUCGCAGUGCUGUAGCUAACGCGUUAAGUUAUCCACCUGAGGAGUACGGUCGCAAGAUUAAAACUCAAAGGAAUAGACGGGGACCCACACAAGCAGUGGAUCACGUGGUUUAAUUCGACAAUAAACGGGGAACCUUACCCAGACUUGACAUCUACCGAAUCUUUUAGAGAUAGAAGAGUGCCUUUAUUGGAGCGGUAAGACAGGUGCUGCAUGGUUGUCGUCAGCUCGUGCCUUGAGGUGUUCGGUUAAGUCCGUUAACGAGCGCAACCCAUGUUCUUAGUUAUUAUGUCUAAGAAGACUGCCUUGGUUAACAAGGAGGAAGGUGUGGAUGACGUCAAAUCAGCAUGGCUUUUACGUCUGGGGCUACACACAUGAUACAAUGGUAUGUACAAAGAGCAGCUAUAUGGUGACAUUGAGCUAAUCUUUAAAGCAUAUCUCAGUCCGGAUUGAAGUCUGAAACUCGACUUCAUGAAGUUGGAAUUGCUAGUAAUCGUGAAUCAGAUAUGUCACGGUGAAUAUGUUCCGGGGUCUUGUACUCACCGCCCGUCACGGCAUGGGAGGUAGUAAUAUCGGAAGUCCUCCUAGUAAUAUGGGGGCCCAUGGUAGGACUACUGACUGGGCUGAAGUCGUAACAAGGUA